GCCAGUGAACCAGUACACUGCCAAUGAUGAGGCACGGAGGGGCCAUCUCCGCCACUGAAGCCAUUCUGAACAACUGCUUUAUCAGAGUGUACUAGCACACCUCCAACACACAAGAGCAGGGACCCAGUCAGAGCUUGAACCCUGAUGAAGAGAUCAAGAGGCCUGACAGAUGUUGACCUGCAGAACACCACACUGAGCAGACUUGUGCCACCGUUUUGCAUAAAAUGGAGCAUGAAGAGACAGGGCAUGGACCACAUCUCUAGUUUUUACGCACCCACCCCCACACACACAUUCAGAUAAGAUUUCUCACUGAUUAAAUGUUCAUAUGAAAGUUUGUUACGUUUUGGUGGUCAAGUUAUAAUUCAUUGUCAUAAAUCUAAAUUAAGAGUUUGGUUCCAAAAUGAGGUAACUACGUUUUUUUUUUCAAAAAACAUGUUUUUUUAUUGAGCACUCCAAUUCAUAUAAAUCAAAGUGCAGC